rnacentral:rRNA from 1 species
CCUACGGUAGGCAGCAGUGGGGAAUAUUGGGCAGUGGGCGCAAGCCUGACCCAGCAACGCAGCGUGCAGGAAGAAGGCUUUCGGGUUGUAACCUUCUUUUCUCAGGGACGAAGAAAGUGACGGUACCUGAGGAAUAAGCCACGGCUAACUACGUGCCAGCAGCCGAGGUAAUACGGAGGUGGCAAGCGUUAUCCGGAUUUACUGGGUGUAAAGUGCGUGUAGGCGGGAAAGCAAGUCAGAUGUUAAAACCAUGGGCUCAACCUGUGGCCUGCAUUUGAAACUGUUUUUCUUGAGUACUGGAGAGGCAGACGGAAUGCCUAGUGUAGCGGUGAAAUGCGUAGAUAUUAGGAGGAACACCAGUGGCGAAGGCGGUCUGCUGGACAGCAACUGACGCUGAGGCGCGAAAGCGUGGGGAGCAAACAGGAUUAGAUACCCUUGUAGUC